rnacentral:lncRNA from 1 species
CAAUCACUCUGACCACACCCCUCAUUUUCUGACCAUAGCUCUCUGUGUUCUGUAACCCAAAUGUUCCUCCUUCCCCACCUUGCUUCCUCAUCAAAAGCACCAACCUUCCUUAUGUCAAGCAUUGAGUCUUCUCACAGGCAGGCUGAGAAGAACUCAGACAUACAAGCCCUUGGCUCAGCUUUUCUCCAGCCACAUAACAUAUGUUCUCUUCUGAAGAAGCAACUCUUGCAGCAUUCUGCCGUAUCCACAGAGAAGACUCACUGUUUCAGGAGGACUGAGGAUGGGGCAGCCCAAUGCCUACCCCCAACCAGAGACGCACACAUCCUUACAAGGUAAACUCCAUACAGAACAAUCACUGUUCGUUUGGGGUGCUCUGUAA